GACGAAACGCUGGCGGCGUGCUUAACACAUGCAAGUCGAACGGUAAGGCCCUUCGGGUACACGAGUGGCGAACGGGUGAGUAACACGUGAACAACCUGCCCUUGACUCUGGGAUAACAGUUGGAAACAGCUGCUAAUACCGGAUACGAGCCUGCAAGACAUCUUGCGGGCUUGAAAGCUCCGGCGGUCAAGGAUGGAUUCGCGGCCUAUCAGCUUUGUUGGUGAGGUAACGGCUCACCAAGGCUUCGACGGGUAGCCGGCCUGAGAGGGCGACCGGCCACACUGGGACUGAGAUACGGCCCAGACUCCUACGGGAGGCAGCAGUGGGAAUAUUGCGCAAUGGGCGAAAGCCUGACGCAGCAACGCCGCGUGCGGGAUGACGGCCUUGG
rnacentral:rRNA from 1 species